UGUACUGAUAAGCCACUUCUAGACUCUGAGAUGACCUCAACCUAUUUGCUCUGUUAGUCAUUGGAGCAGCACACCUAGAAGGGUAUGUUGCUGUUUUAGGGUGAGAUUGAUGUACAGAAUUUACCUUUCAAGGAGAUCAGUCAAUUGGAGAGGAUUCCUCAGGUUAUUCUAGUUUCAGAGAGCACUCUUAGUACCAUAUUCUGCUGAACUCUGAUUAUAUUCAAUGGGGAUCAGGCCUCUACUCCACCCUAGAACGCCUUUUGCUCUCAAAGGAAAUAAGGAAAAAAUGAUGAAGUGCAGACUAGAUAAGUGAACAGAAGUGGGCAGAGAGGAACCUCGUGGAGUUCAACAGAGGGAUGUGCAAAGCACUGCACCUUGGGAGGAAUUACCCCAUGCACCAGUACAUGCUGGGAGCCAGCCUGCUGGAGAGCAGCUUUGCAGAGAAGGACCUGGGGGUCCUGGUGUGCACCAAGGGUGUAAAGAAGAUGAAGCCAGACUUUUUUCAGGGAUACUCAGUGAAAGGACAAAGAGAAAACAUCACAAAACAAAAAUCAAGAAAUUCCAUUUAAACAUAAGAAGACCUUUUUCUCUGUGAGGGUGGGUUUUCACUACUUUGACUGCCCAGAGAGGUUGUGGAAUCUGUCCUUGGAGAUGUUCAAAACUCAACUGGACUUGGUCGUGGACAACCUGCUCUAGCUGACUGUGUGUUAAGCAGGGGACCAGAGGAUCUUCUGAGGUCCCUUCCAGCUUCAGCUGUUCUGUGAUUCUCUGAUGGCAGAGGGGCUUCAGAAUCCUCACAAGCAUGGCCAAGCCUUUCUUUGUCUCUCUUAUCACUAACAAAACAGUCAGAGCUCUAUUCUGUGCAGCCAGGCUACGUCUAAACGUUUGAAAAUGUGAAAUCCGCAGAAAUACUGUAGAAAUGCAAAAUAUGUAAUUGUUGCCUUUUUGAUAUUAGCUUGUAAUUAACUUGAUUUUGUUUAAUGACAAAGGAAUAAAUAGCUCCUGAAUGUGUGCGAAGAGAACCCACAGAACUGUUACGGGCUAGCAACUUCACAAAGGAACAUCUGUUAAAAGGAAAUGACCUGCACAAAGUCAUCGCAAGUCUAUUAUGCACUAACUGGCUACCUAUUGAGAACUAAAUGACGCAAAUGAGUUAUAGUCAUUGGCUUUUCAUCUCCUGCGAAUUGGGCUCAAAUCCCUAAUAAGGCACCAGGUGAAAAUGAGUGUCUAAGGCCUCUCUUCCAAAUCCCCUGUUAGGCACCAUAUAAAUUAGCACAUUAGCAGGCUUGCCUCAGGGGAAAAGUGGGACUAGGACAGCAGGUGUGUCACAGAGCAUAAUUGAGAUGCAACAGCAGAGAAGAGCGGGGCUUCUGCACAGCGCCAAGCUGCUUCACGCUAGCACUAUUGAUCUGUAACUUCCAUGAGGCUGGCUCCAGGUUUUAGAAACUCCAUCUCUUAUUCAGCAAGGAAGCCCUCCAAGGGGAAAAACAAACCACUGAAGUUUAUGAUUGACUAGGCCGAGCAAUACAGGAUCCCCAGUGUUCUCUGAUCUGUGUGACAGCGAGAAGGCCGCCUGUCCUUCAUGCCAAACAGCAGCGUGGAAUGGGGUCAGAGGAGGUCCUGCAAGCCACCUGGCAGCCUGCAUUUCCCAACCUGCCACGCUAAUGCAAGAUGUCAUCAGCUCCAGGGUAGACAGAAGCGGAUACCUCUAUGAUUCAAAGUUCAGGGCUCUUGUACCUUACAUAUUUACCUGACAGAAUACCAGAGCAAUGUGUUUGCUGUCAUAAAGCACUGGGAGAGGGUUUCCUGGUGGAGAUGUGAGCAUUCAGAGAGUCACAUUUCUAGGGCUCAGCUGAGUUAUUCCUGUUGACAAAGCAGGGCUGAUCCGUUGAAGUGAAGCACUGAUAAAAAGCAGUAAAAACUUUGUUUGUUCUUAUCAGGAGCUAUUUGCAAACCUGCCAAACUGGAAAAUAGUCUUUUUUUUUUUUUUCACCUUUUGCUUAGUGAUUAUAAAAUUCUUAUUAGAGCAUUACCCUUCUUCCCUGAUGAUGAUUAAGAGACUGUCUCACAAAACUCUGGAUUAAAUUGAUGUGUUCACUGCUUUAAUCUUGGGGAAGCAAAUUAAUCUCUCCUGACAUUCUGAUGGCUUUACUGGAUGACACAUAGAAUUAUAUUGGCAGAAGGAUGCAGCUGAAGUCUAAAAGCAGAGAUCCCAAUUAGCUGCUGUUGAGUAAAUCCCAGCUGCUCUUCAACCCUUCAAAGAUGAUACAUGGGAUUCUGUGCAGUCUGUCUACCUCGGGAUCUGAGAUGGCAAAAUGAAACAUGUAUUUAAAAGGUAUCCCUAAAACUAAAUAGAUGCCUGUAAGUAUUGGUAAAUAUUCAUGAGCAUGAGCCUAAAUUUAUUUCUGAAAUAGCCUUGAGUUCAUGAAAACAAGACUUCUUUUUAAUAGAAAAAUAUUAGUGUGUUGUUCUUUGCCUCCUGAGGCAGAACCAAAGGGAGACUGUCUGAAAUUAUUCACAUGAAAAGUAAUGACAAGGGAAAAGAGGUAUGUGAAAUUUGAGGAUUAGGAAAAGGGGUUUAAUCCAGACUAACAAAUUGGCUAGAGGUUAGGCACACGCAGUAGAAAGAGGCACAUAUCUCUCUAAUUCCUCCUGAAUUACAGUCUCCCAAAUGCCCUAACAAUCAUGCUGUAGAUUCAAUAUUUGUAGUUCUUUCUAGCUUAAACAUAACAAAGAGAAAAGAUGAUCCCUGAUUUUCUCUAUUGACUACCCUGGUAUGGCUGUCUCUCAUUUUUUAUUUGUUUAUUGACUAGAGAAACCCCAAUGCAAUACUAGCUAGGACCUCAAGGUGAGCCAGACACAGACCCGUUCUGCGAGGAGUGGGUGAGGCAACUGAACAAGCUCUUCAACUGAAGGACCAGACAUGGGUUUUGCAGGCAUCCUUGCUGAGAAUAAUGUGUACCUAAUUCUGAGAGUCUCUGUUCCAGCUAAUUAAUAUUGUCUGACAAGCAAUAAAUAAAUACAUAAAUCAGUGCUACUAUACCCACAUAACUUCGAGCAUUUAAAGACCUCAGUUCCUGAACAACCUUUUCUGGCUGAAAAUAUUGUUGUUGGGGUCCUGUUUCUUCAGUCUAUAGAGUAUAUCAUUCCAUCUGCAGAAAGAGUUAUACAAAAGCUUUUUACAUUGUUGUGGAAAACUCUGACCUUUUACAUAAUUGAUAGAGGGGGGGGAAAGAAACUGGAGACCUUUUCUCUAAAAGUGUGUAUGUGUAUAAGGCACAGAAGUCUGACUCUUUUGUCACCUGUGGUAAGAAUUUCAAAUAAGGGAUUUUGUUAUCUAAAAAAGGUCUUUUUACUUGCCUUGCAUCAAAUUACAGCGUGAUUUUUUGGGGGUAAAGAAGCAGUAGAAACAUACAGCAUGGCAUGUAUGUAUGGCAUAAAUAACAUUGUACCUACGUUUCCUUAGUGUUUGUGUGUGUGUUUAUGUUGUAUUUUUGUUUGUUUUUGACAUACAAAUGCAUGGUUCAAUUUAUAAUAUCGUAUGCAACAAUCCAACAGCUUCUCUGGAAUCACAUCCCUCUUGGCAUUUUGAUUUGAACUGAGUAGAGAAUUUGAAGAUGGAAUGUCAGCUUUUCACUGCUGAAUUUAAGGCUGGUGUUUUUUCUCUGUGGUCACUAGGUCAAUAUUUUGUAAUAGUAGUAACAGGUUAUGAUAAACGGGUUCCUACAGGAAGACCGUUACUUAAUUUGUAUUAAUUUAUAUGAAUUUUAUGGUAUCAUAUAACAUCAGAAAGCUACUACAGAACAGUGGUUAUUCUCCACCAUGCUUUUUAUGAAAUUCUUACCUUGCAAAUGAUGAUCGUAUAGGUUACAUGCAGUCAGCCCCAUGGUAGCCCUCUUUUGAAGGCUGGUGGGCUCCCAGCACAGACGGAAAUCACAUCAUCAGUGGAAGAUCUUCAGACCAUUAUAAUCCUAUAUUGGUCCUUUUAGUCCUUUAGCAGGACCUAAUUCAUUCUGAACACUUUCUUUAAGCAGGAAGGCAUUUCAGCCUUAUGCAAUCGUUGCUUUCAAAGUCAACUCUUACAGAACAAUUGCUUCGUUAACAUAU